rnacentral:rRNA from 1 species
CGGAGGAAUCAUUACUGAGUUUACGCUCUCCAACCCUUUGUGAACAUACCUAUAACUGUUGCUUCGGCGGGUAGGGUCUCCGCGACCCUCCCGGCCUCCCGCCUCCGGGCGGGUCGGCGCCCGCCGGAGGAUAACCAAACUCUGAUUUAACGACGUUUCUUCUGAGUGGUACAAGCAAAUAAUCAAAACUUUUAACAACGGAUCUCUUGGUUCUGGCAUCGAUGAAGAACGCAGCGAAAUGCGAUAAGUAAUGUGAAUUGCAGAAUUCAGUGAAUCAUCGAAUCUUUGAACGCACAUUGCGCCCGCCAGCAUUCUGGCGGGCAUGCCUGUUCGAGCGUCAUUUCAACCCUCAAGCUCUGCUUGGUGUUGGGGCCCUACAGCUGAUGUAGGCCCUCAAAGGUAGUGGCGGACCCUCUCGGAGCCUCCUUUGCGUAGUAACUUUACGUCUCGCACUGGGAUCCGGAGGGACUCUUGCCGUAAAACCCCCAAUUUUCCAAAGGUUGACAUG